rnacentral:rRNA from 1 species
GACGAACGCUGGCGGCGUGCUUAACACAUGCAAGUCGAACGCUGAAGACCUGGCUUUUGUUGGGUUGGAUGAGUGGCGAACGGGUGAGUAACACGUGAGUAACCUGCCCUCUUCUUUGGGAUAACGCCCGGAAACGGGUGCUAAUACUGGAUAUUCACUGAUCUUCGCAUGGGGGUUGGUGGAAAGGGUUUUUCUGGUGGGGUAUGGGCUCGCGGCCUAUCAGCUUGUUGGUGGGGUGAUGGCCUACCAAGGCUUUGACGGGUAGCCGGCCUGAGAGGGUGACCGGUCACAUUGGGACUGAGAUACGGCCCAGACUCCUACGGGAGGCAGCAGUGGGGAAUAUUGCACAAUGGGCGAAAGCCUGAUGCAGCGACGCCGCGUGAGGGAUGGAGGCCUUCGGGUUGUAAACCUCUUUCGCUCAUGGUCAAGCCGCAACUGUGGGUUGUGGUGAGGGUAGUGGGUAAAGAAGCGCCGGCUAACUACGUG